GCCGGGGUAGCUCAACGGCAGAGCAGGCGAUUUGUAAUCGUCAGGUUGGGGGUUCAACUCCCCCCUCCGGCU
rnacentral:tRNA from 1 species